GAAGGGUAUUUCGUCGGUGACGGGUAUUUCGUCAUCCAGGCAGCAUAUAUUUAUUGAGUAUCUACCAGGCAGCAGGCACUGCUGUGGGCACUGGGAAUACCAUGGACGCGACCCGCAGAUCCCUGCUCUGAGAGACAGCAUGGCGUAGUGGUCCAGCAGGGACCCUGGAGACACACAAUCUAUGUUCCCAGUCCGGCUGUACCACACAGUGAACACGUCAUCUUGCUCAAACCACACAGAUCUUAGGGUUUGGGUUUUCUUAUUUGUAAAAUGAGGAUAAGAGUCCUUCCUCAUAGGUCGUUGUCACAGGACCUAAAUGAGUUAACGCUCACAGUGCUAGAACAGCACCUGGAACAUAGGAAGUACUUCUAAAUGAGUUUGUGAAUUAUAGCUGAGCAUACAGUUAGUUGGGAGAACCACAGCAAAUUAUUUUAGAUAAAUUCUAUGAAAAAGAUAAGAGUUCUCUGAGGAGGUGCCAUUAGAACAUUCCAGGGAGAGGAAGACCAAUCCCAGAUGGGGAACCAUUGUGACAUCACUGGCAACCUUUGACAGCAGUGUUAGUGCAGUUGGGAGUGGGGAAGUUGGAAUGCAAUGAGCCAACAAUGAAGGGGAAGUAAGAAAAGAUGGCGAGCGUACACCCUUCUUUCGAGGAACUCGGCUAUGAAGAGAAGAGCAAAGGGAAGACAGGAUGGGUGGAGGGUGAUAGGACAGAAGGGAGCCUGUAUGUGCCCUACAAAGAUGUCAGUAGGGAGAGAGAGGACUUGAAAAUGGAACCUGGAAAUAAGGAGUGAGGGAUAGAGCAGGAGGUUCUCAGUGUGGAGCAGCCAGGGCGCACAGACUGGCCCUGACAUUAGCUCCAGCUGAGAGAAGACACGUUUUCCUGUGAACCUGGAGAGAGGUGGCGAGGGCAGCACACAGGGAGAUCAUUGGAAGGGUGUGGGAGCAGGAGGUUGAGGGGGUUUACACUUGAAAUCCCCUGAAUAGUCUCGGGGAUGGAGAAGGCAGUAUAGUUGAAGGAGGCUUUGAAUUCCAGCCCUUUUCUCUCUGACAGAAGCCAUGUCUUACUGUUCUUAACUUCCUUGGAGGGAGAAGUGAGUGGAUUCGGGAAGCAGUGCGAGUGAUCGCAGGAAGCCCACUUCCAGUGACUGAAAGUCAUGCCAGAGUGAGCACGUCUUGUUCUCUCUUCAGUGGAGGAAGCCCCCCGCAGACUAGGGCUUGCUGUGUGCUCAUUUCCUCCACUGUCUGGAAUCAAGCCUUGAAAAUAGCCAUUUCCUCACUCACUAAAUGCUUGUGAAGGCGAGAAGGAAUAAAGUCUGAUGAACAUUGCAUUUCUUGGUGGUCACCAUCCAACUCCACUCAAGGGGGUUCUUCCGACAGGAUGUUGACUCUGAAGCAGGUGACUGUAGGACGUGGGGAAAGAUGGAGAUCCUUUCUACCUGGAGGUCAGCCUGUUUCUACUAAGCCACUAGCAGUGGGCCCACAGAGCUCGCUGGCUUCCCACCAACCCGAACCUGGUCCUCCGGCCCCCAAUCACUUCUGGGAGCCACCACCACCACCACCACAUGCGCACACGCAUGCUUCCAUUAAAUUCCUCUCUGCUUUGGUGAGCUGGAGUCAGUUUCUGUUGCUUGCAACAGAGAACUCUGACUAAAUCUGAGUUCAAUCCUCUUAAUGAAAGGUUGAGCAUACUGUCAGAUUCCUAUGCAGGUGUGGAGUGUGUGGAAGAAUUCAGAAGAACUGCAGGUUUAUUCAUCUCUUUGGUCUUCCACAUGCUGGACAUUGGGAACACAAAGACAAACGCAACAGGUCCUGGUCUUAACGUAAGCAAAUGCGUCUAUCUUGGUUUGAGUUCACCCAGAAGCAAACCCUGAGACAAAAAUUCAAGUGCAAGUGGUUUAUUUGGGAGGUGGUCCUAGGAAGCAAGGAUAGGGGAGUGGGGAAAUAAGACAAGGAAGGGAGGAAGACCCACCCAGGGGCAUUAUCCAGCGAGCUCCUGCAGAGGGCCCCUGGAGCUCAGCCUGGCUGGGACCUCUACAGGCCUCGAAGUUUCAUUUAUCCACCAGCUGCCAUCUGUCCUGGGUUGAGGGCUGCCUCCAGAGGCGAUGUGCUCUCUGGCACUUUCACUGCCCAGCACGUGUGCAGUUAGUGGCCCGAGCAGCCCUUGGGCAGAGGCAGAGAUUAGGGACUGCCGAGGGGCCACAAGCAGGCCACCACAUCCAGGGCUGCAGAAUGCAGUGGAGAGAGAGUUCUGUGGGUUCUGCAAGAGAACUGGGACAGGGAUGGUGGGCACCAAAAGAGAGCAGUCAGUUCCAGAGAGAGAAUGUCGUCAGAUCUGAGUGAUGUCCUGCACUUAGCCUUUCUAGGCGCGGGGGGCUUUUGAGCUUGAACUUGCAGACGUGGUAAAGGAAGGUCAGCUGGAAAGAAAACCUCUUGUGCUGAGGUCCCGCCCCAGGAGGAACCAGCCCAGUGCAGAGGGGGCGGGGAGGGUAAGGUGUGGGAGGGGGCAGCCUGCUGGGCUCUAAGGGAGCAGCAAGAGGAAGGAGGCCCCAGGGCAGCAGCAUCUCACAGGCCUCCCUGCUCCCAUGGGGCCCUGCAGCCACCAGCCAGGUCUCCACCAGGUGCCAGAGACACCCUUUAAACCACUCAGUGUUAUUGAGGGCCCAACCCUGUCCCAGCUCUUCGCACUGAUCCUCAACUCCCUGUGAGGAGUUGUGAUGGUCACGCCAGUUCAGACUGAGGGAAAAGCACAAGGAGGUUAAGCGUCUUGCCCAAGGUCGUGUGGCUUGAACAAGGCAGAAGUAAGUUUUGAACCCAGGUAGCAUGGUUCCCAGGCCCAUGCUCCCAACCUCCCCAAAGGAUGAUUUCAACACCCAGAUGAGGUCGAGUUCCUGCUCUGUUAACACACGGAUGGCUGUGCGUGUUAGGAGUGAUACAAAGCCAAGUUCGCAGAGGGCAGCUGGCUGCUUGGAUGGCUGCAGAGGGCUUCCCCCCGAAGGUCCAGCAAGUUGCAGUUACACGUGCUACCGUUAACAGCUGGAAAAUGCCCCCAAGCCCACCACCCAGAUGUCAACUGUCCUCUUUGAUCAACGUUGUGCAUGAGGACAUCGAGUUUCAGACAACGGCUGGGGUGAUGUGGUCUCGGGCCCACCCCACUCCUGAGUCCUCACAGUCUUGUGACGAGUCUGAGGACACCAAUCCCCUGGGAGAAGCCCUGAGCCUUCGAAGCUUAGCCGAGCCUAGGGUGACGCUGCGGCACUUCGUGUACUGAGAUGAUGCACAAGAUGAGAACUGCUCCUCACAAGGCGCUGUCCUGGACAUGCUUUGAACCGUACAACUCAAGCUUUGCUUGUCUUGAGAUCCUCCAGGGUGGGCACGAGGCAGGACUGCUAAGUUGAAGUUCUGCUGCUUCCAAGAAAGCCCAGCCCAGGGCCAAGGAUCCCGUCCAGGACACCGCACUGGUCGUCAUGUCUCCUUAGGCUCCUCUGGGCUGUGACCGUUUCUUGGACUUUCCUUGUUUUUGAUGACCUUGACAGUUUUGAGAAGGCCAUGUCAGGUAGUUUAUGGAAUAUCCCUCAAAUGGGAUUUUUUUGAUGUUUUUCUCAUGAUUGAAAAGGGGUUAUGGGUUUUGGGGAGGAAGAUCAGAGGUAAAGUGCUUUAAUUUUUAAUUAAAAAAAUCAAAUUAAUUCCAAAAUUGUUCCUUUUCCCACCCCUGCUUCCUCCCUUCCUCCUUUCCUGGCUUCCCUCUCUCUUUUCCUUCCUUGGUGCGCCUGCUUUGCCCGCCCAGGCACUUUCUCCGUCUCUCUGUUGGGUAGUGGAGCACUGAGCCUGAGCGUGGCCCUCAGAGCUAGAGAAGUUGAGCGGCUGGGCGCUCAGUGGCAGGGAGAGGACCCGGAAGGCCACUGUGGGGGAAGGAGGCCAGUGCGGUGUAGCGGUUAAGAUCGUGGACUUCCUGGGUUCAAAUCCCGGGAAGUCUUGCCCCUUCCGCAGCUCUGUUAAGUGCAUCCACCUCAUUAGGGUUGUUAGGAUCGUUAAGUGAGCUGGUAGAGAAUAGCCCCACCACAGCUGGUGCUUGAGCUGGGCCCUAAACAGGCCUGCACGACUGGAGCGGUGGGAGAUGGGGAGCAACACUCCCUCUCCCCAAGGGCCCUUCAGCAUAGCCUGCGACCUCUACAGCAGAACUGCCCUCAGGGCUGGCUCUCGGGGUGCAGGACAUAGAUAAUGGCAGAGUGGCUUCCCUAGACCCACUAGGCUCCCAUCUGCUGGGCACUCAGCAGGCCGGGGGCUAUGUCAAGGCCUCCCAUACCUGACUUUUUUCAACCCUGGAAACUCAUGGAAACUCCAUGAGGGAGGUACUGUUAUCAUCACCGCUUUGCAGAAGGGGAAGUGAGGCCCGCCCACUCGCUGGGUCAGCCAUCUUUGCAGAUCUCCAUCAGGCAGUAAGUCAGUGUUCCUGAAACCGAGAGUGUCAUGGAAAAAGCCAGAAAGAGUUUUUCCUUCUCUAAAACCUUUCUGCUCUAGUUUACUCAUCCUGGACUCCUUUGAACAACUCUGAAUAAAAGCUGCACUAACACUUUGAUGGGACAGAGUUUCAAUUAGAGGACAAUUGGUCACUGCAGUCAGGAUUUAGGGGCAGGAAGACCUGAGCCCCUGUCCUGCUGGCACCGUGUGGCCUUGAGCGGGUCUCCUAACCGAUUGUUUCCUUAUCUGCACACCGGGGUGUGUGUGCCUGGGAUGAUGCAGGACCACUAACUAGUAAAUAUAUGCUGCUGGUCAGCAGGGCUUCUAUUUAAAUAGCAUUUGUUGUUUUCAAAUAUGCUUUGUUAAAAGAAAAGCUACAAACAAUGCAAAUAAAUGUACAACAGCCAAAGAGGUUUUAAAAAACUUGUUAGAAUAUUCACUAAAUGAAAUAAUACGCAGCCACUAAAAAUGAUAUUCACCUAAAUGCACCGUGGUAUCCCAGAUUGGAUCUUAGAACAGAAGAAGAACAUUCGUGAAAAAACUAAUGAAACUCAAUAAAGUCUGGAGUUUAAUUAAUAGUAUUAACAUUAAUUUCUUAGGUUUUUUUUUUUUUUGAGGAAGAUUAGCCUGGAGCUGACAUCUGCUGCCAAUCCUCCUCUUUUUGCUGAGGAAG